UAGCAAAAUCCACCCCACGAUCCGAAAAUAACUGCAAAAUCCGGCGGAGAUGACUGAGGAGCGGAAGCUGAUUGCUGAGAUAAUCUUCCCUCCAGGUCUAAUCCUGUUCGUGUUCCUAACAAUAACGCUACUUUUUCCUGAUCUUGACCAAUCGCAAUUGUGAAAUCUGUUGAAGAUGAUUGGGGAGUAGCUGCUGAUGUCAGUAAACGUGGUUCAGUUUCCAACGCUAACACAAUGCGAAUCAUCCCUCAACUGGAUGAAUGGAAUGAUUCUAGAACAGGAUAGGGAUAUGAUCCUAAUUUCAUGGCAAACAGCCAAGAAUUAAGCCAAUGAAGAAUGAAUCCAGUUCCUUGGAAUAGGACAAUCAAUCACGGACGCAGAAGUUCCAAGGCCGAUAUGAAAAAGAUUGGACGUCAAAUUCUGUUCUUGCUGACUUGGAAAUGCCCAAAUCAAUGAGAAUUGUGGGCACUAUAUCGAACCCGAAAAAGUUUUAAAUUACUUGGGAGAGUGUGCGAAACGGCCAAUGAAAGAAUUUGUGUUUUUUCGAUAUAUUCCAGCUACCCUGCAGCUAUUAUCCUUGGAGUGUUUCAAAGACUUUCAUGUCGUUCCAUUGGGCAAAGAAAGUCCGAUGCCUUUGGAGUUGAUGACGUUUUUUAUAAGAUCUUUUCGGGAAAAUAGCAAGGCAGAUUUUAUAUUGGACGUUGUGGUGUUCCGGUUUUUACAGCGUGCUGUGGACCAACCAAGUUGUAAUGCUUCGUUGCCGGAAAAGAAAGCAGUUUGCGUCACCCAAAGUGAAGCAGAAUUGGAAAGCAUCAGAAUUCAAGAAACUCAAAAUUCAGAAUCCACUCUAGUUGCUUAUGCCCAGAUCCCCACUCAUAUGACUACUAUUCGACAAAAGACAUCCUCAGCGUUGAUCCCGUCAAAGCUAAAAUUCAGUCAAACUCUUCCCAACUGAAGUCUUCCUUGUCAAGGCCUCCGUCUGUUGCUAAAUCAAUUCCUGUAUAGUUUCAUCUUCGGCGAUAGCGGAAUCCAGUGAAGACAAUACGCCUGUCAAAACCACGGCCGCUGUUGUUGUUGAUGUUGAUGUAAAAAGUCAUAUUAGAGGAACUGAACCGUCAAGCUGGAGCUAUAUGAAACACGGAAAGUCGACAGAAGUUACAGGGUCUGCUUCGUCAAUUGGAGCAUCCAGCCUUGAAUUUUCCUCUUCAAGUGGACCACCUACUCGAUCGAGAACAAAAAGUAAACCCAUACUGGAAGAAAGUUCUGCAUCUAAACGGUCCCAAAACCUGGUCUUACCGAAGGAGCCGAAUCUCCCCUUUACGUUUAAGGAGAAUGGAGAAUUGGAAACUGACAGCGUGCAGCGAAAGGCCCACAUUAGUUCGAGAAAGAGUAUUCAAAUCACGAAGACUUGACCGCUCUCAAAAUGGUUCCAGUCGUUCGAUCAAGGAUAACAAUCAGAAAAAUUCAGCUAGUUCUCGUUCUGUUCGCGAAAAAAGUGAUAAAGUGAGUUCGAGAAGCUCUAAAAGUUCUCGUCGUGAUUCCGAUUCCAGCAGCAAACGUUCCGGUAAUCAUCGUAGUGAUCGCGACAAGAAAGCAGAUGCUAAGGAGCGCGAUCAUCAUCGUUCAUCGAGGAGUAUAGGCUACUCUCUCUCUCCCGGAGGUUGAUAAUUGCUUGCCGACAAGCCGCUUUGAACAGAUAGCGACGGGCCAAAAUUGGGGAAACAAAUUUUUAUCGCCAGUGAUGCCACUCUGACGCCCUGCCUCGUGGAUGGAACGGAGAGCGCCUAAAGUGCCAGUAUGGUACAGAAGAUGCAAGAGUCUAAUGAUCAACUUACUGCAGCGGGAGACCAACAAGCCGGUGGGGGAACCUCCCGAGGUCAUUGAUUACCAAAAGAUGUUUACCGAAACCAAAACUUUCACAAAGACGAUCAAUCUGCAGCUGCGCUAGCUCGACGUUCAGCAGGCUUUACAACACGUGUUUUAUCUCUGCACGUACAUGCCAGACUCAUUCAUGGCCCGUGGAGGGGACUAUCACAGCGUGCAGCAACUUCUCUUGAUGUCUAGACUGCUCUUCAAAUGCGACAUGCUUGCCGCUCAAGUGAAAGAGAAGUUUCCCGGCUCGGCUGGGGUUAUCUGUCAAACACUCUUAAAUCCCCUGCGGCUGACCAGUGCAUCUUUGGAGCUAGGAUGCUUCAAUGGCUCUUGUCACUCUAGGGAGUCAGUCGCCAGUUCUCGUACGCGCUGAACAGCUGUUCACCGCAGCAGUUUUUUUUUCGAGAUGAGCACGCUUCAUUAUCAGGAGAUGCUGCAACAAGAGAAAGCCAUCGAUUUUUACAUGGAACUCUUGCGUAAAGAUCAGCUGGAUGAAAAUGUCCAGUUGGAUGCAUUGGAGAAGGUGGUCAAUUAUUUAAACAGCAUCUACGCCGUCCAGUUCAGCUCGGUCGUUAACGGUGCCACUUUACUGACCAACCAUGACAAAGUCCUGCUCGCUUCCUGCUGUUGAUUGACAUCUCUGGGUACCGGCGUUCAGGCAAUGAUGCAGUAGAGUGGACAUGAAGGACGUGGCGUGGCGAAAUCCAUCAAGAAAGUUCUCAGUCAAGCAAACCAACGGCAGCAAUACGCCCGUACGAUUAAGCGAAGGUUGCCUCUGCUGAUGGGUCCACCGGUCCUAUCAAUCUUCCUAUGGAAACCUCGCCCAAGCUGAUUCAAUGUGCCGGUCAUUUCACCAGAUUGCUCAAAACUAUGUUGGCGUGGUGCCGCAUGGUCUCUCAACAAACUUUUCGUCAGCAGCGAGACGAAUGCUGGCGUAGCCAUUGCCAAAAUGCGAGAAUUGGCUCACGCAGCUGCUGACCACUUGCACCAGAUGGUUUUGACGAUGGUGUAAAAAAAAAUAAAAUGGUUAAAAGAAUUAAAAUAUUCGCAACAAGAAAUAAAAGAAAAAACAACCAAACAAAAGGAAAGCUAAAUUUACAUCUCUCCUCUCUCCCUUUUCUCUUUUUCAUUUCUUCGAUGGCCCUUCUGUUUGGUGAAGGUUCGUUCAUCGUUGAUCAACUUGGUGUCCCAGUUCAGCAAGUUGCACAGCGACAAGAAGCAAAUCAGUGUGGGUUUCAUCGGCUACCUGAACGUUGGAAACUCAUUUGUCAUCAAUACGUUACCCAUCAAGAAAGUCUACAAGUGGACGCCCAUCGCCGGUGAGACUAAAGUUUGGCAGCACAUCACGCUUUUGCGUCGAAUUUUCCUUAUCGAUUGUUCAGGAGCUGU